CUAAAAAACUUUAAUAAAUAUAUUUAUUCAUUUUAUGUACACUGCGAUAUUUUAAUUUUUACAGGUAAAACCAUCUGCUAUAAAAACCAAUUAACCGAUUAGCAUCAAAUCAAUCAACAGAAUGCAUGUGGUAUUUCGCAAACUAACGGGACGAACGAUUUCUAAACUGUUUACGAAACCGAUAAAAAAUACACUCGGCAAUUAAGAUUGAGUAGUGCCGCUGAAUUUUCUAAAAGAGAGAAGUGUGCUUUCGACAUGAGCAUAAAAUUUAUGCGCAAUGCGUUAUUUCACGAACAACGCGCAUGUUUUUUUAUGAAGCAAAAAUAAUUCCACGAAAUCACAAAGUCAGCAAGGAGAGUAAGCGCUCUCUGCGUGAGCAGUAAUUAUGCGUUGCAUUCCCUCGUAACCUAUUUUUGGCCGCUCAUCCCGAAAUCUACGUAAACACAUUUGGAAAAUACACAAAAGACGCACCGCGAAAACGGGCACACAAUGGCAAUAUGCACUAAUGAUGGCAUGCUCAAUCAUUACUGGCGCCACUGGAUACUCACCGUUUGUGCGGGGGGCGCUGAUGA